GAGAACGGCUGGGUCGCGUUUGCAGGGGUUCAUCCAUCACCCCGUAUCCGAAGGAAGAGUCAAAGAUCGUUUUGCCAAUCCAAGUUUGUAUGUGAAGUAAUCACCAUCGAAAUUCCAUCCUCACUUCCGCUGACAGUGGGAUCCAGUGGUCGUAUGAGUGACCGGUGCGUACGUAUCUCACCAUCAGUCGUAGUGGGCCAGGGAAUAACGCUUGUAUGGAGGAGGAGAGGAAUCCCACAAUCCGAC